rnacentral:rRNA from 1 species
UGCGAACUCCUACGGGAGGCAGCAGUGGGGAAUUUUGGACAAUGGGGGCAACCCUGACGCAGCGACGCCGCGUGGGGGAUGAAGGCCUUCGGGUUGUAAACUCCUUUCGCUAUCGACGAAGCCUUCGGGUGACGGUAGGUAGAUAAGAAGCACCGGCUAACUACGUGCCAGCAGCCGCGGUAAUACGUAGGGUGCAAGCGUUGUCCGGAAUUACUGGGCGUAAAGAGCUCGUAGGUGGUUUGUCGCGUCGUCUGUGAAAUCCCGGGGCUUAACUUCGGGCGUGCAGGCGAUACGGGCAUAACUUGAGUGCUGUAGGGGAGACUGGAAUUCCUGGUGUAGCGGUGAAAUGCGCAGAUAUCAGGAGGAACACCGAUGGCGAAGGCAGGUCUCUGGGCAGUUACUGACGCUGAGGAGCGAAAGCAUGGGUAGCGAACAGGAUUAGAUACCCUAGUAGUCCAGAUG